AAAAAAAAAAGAUGUUAUAUAGCAGACCCUGCCUGUCCGAAUCUAACCAGUGACUUUAAAGAAUGGACCUUUCUUACUACAACCGAUACAACCACGCUAUCAAGUACCACUUCUACCGAUCAGGGAGAUACUUCUAUUGAUAAAAACUGGGUAGCGAUACUAACGGGUGUUAUAGGUGUAAUUAUUUUCAUAUUCAUCUGUUCAGGAUUUACUUGGAAACGUUUUCGAAAUGCAAAGAAAAGGGACAAGCCAUCUUCUUUAGAUGUGCGCUAUACAAGAUCCAGGAAGAAUCAACAUCCUGAAACAGAAGGUUUAUUUCAAGAGAUAGUAAAUGAACAGAUGAGAGGAGGGGGUA